UCGGGAAUUUUGGGCAAUGGGCGAAAGCCUGACCCAGCAACGCCGCGUGAAGGAUGAAGUCUCUCGGGAUGUAAACUUCGUAAGAAUAGGAAGAAUAAAUGACGGUACUAUUUGUAAGGUCCGGCUAACUACGUGCCAGCAGCCGCGGUAAUACGUAGGGACCAAGCGUUGUUCGGAUUUACUGGGCGUAAAGGGCGCGUAGGCGGCGUGGUAAGUCACUUGUGAAAUCUCCGAGCUUAACUCGGAACGGUCAAGUGAUACUGCUGUGCUAGAGUACAGAAGGGGCAAUCGGAAUUCUUGGUGUAGCGGUGAAGUGCGUAGAUAUCAAGAGGAACACCUGAGGUGAAGACGGGUUGCUGGGCUGAUACUGACGCUGAGGCGCGAAAGCUAGGGUAGCAAACGGGAUUAGAUACCCAUGUAGUCCCUGAGCGGGCUGGCAAGGCGCAU
rnacentral:rRNA from 1 species